UACGUAGGGGGCAAGCGUUAUCCGGAAUUAUUGGGCGUAAAGAGUACGUAGGUGGUUACCUAAGCACGGGGUAUAAGGCAAUGGCUCAACCAUUGUUUGCCUUGUGAACUGGGCUACUUGAGUGCAGGAGAGGAAAGCGGAAUUCCUAGUGUAGCGGUGAAAUGCGUAGAUAUUAGGAGGAACACCAGUGGCGAAGGCGGCUUUCUGGACUGUAACUGACACUGAGGUACGAAAGCGUGGGGAGCAAACAGG
rnacentral:rRNA from 1 species